AUGCUUUAUAGUCAUUAGCCGAUGAAGUCUAAAUAAUUAUUAGAUUGAAAAUACCCUAUGACGUACGCUGCCGCCCGGAUAGUCAAAUAAAAAACUCUAAAAAACAAACGAGCUAUUCGAAUAAUAGGUACUGACCUAUCAUUAAAUUCGUACCUAUAUAUAUAUAUACAUUAGUUAAUGAACGAGGUUUGGAUGUUGAUUUUCAUUAAUUAUAUUAUAAGAUAACGAUAAUACCGAGUCACUGAAUAUAAAAAAAUAGGUACCUAGUAUACAUAAAU